GUGUACAGCAAAGUGAUUCAGUUACACACUAUGUGUACUAGAAAAUUUUACAAUUACAUAUGUGACUGUACAGUUCCACCGGGCAGUGCUGCUGGCUGCCAUCCCCCUGAUGUACACACAAGGCUCUGAGAGCAGACAGCACUGCCUUCUUGCAACCAUUUGAAGACAGCAGCACCAUGAUGCCAGGUCUGACUAGAGGCGAAAGGACUGACUUCUCUGACAUCUGACCUGACACCUGAGACUGAUGAGAAAUCCUUUUGAUUCCCGCCACCGUCAGUCACCUGAGAAAUGCGGUCCAUCAGCGCUUCACAAGCCUGGCUGGGCAGCAGAGUCAUCUAGAAGGCUUUGUAGAAACAAAUACCUAGGACCCUACUCCAUUCCUAUAGAACUGAACUGAAUCUCUCUCUGGGGGUCAGUCCUAUACUUUUUAAAAGGUGUUUCUGAUGCAGCCAGUCCAGCCUGACAUUUGGAAACCACUGCUUUUGGCUCACACCACUGGCAUAUCCAGUAUGUUUUGAAAUAUUCAGAGACACAGAAACAGAAUAUUUAAAACUGGGAGUGGUUGGAAAAUCUGAAAUGGACAUGACUACACUUUGGGUCUCCCCAAAGGUAUCCCCCCUGCAGAACACCGCCCUGCUCCCUCCUGGGGAGACAGGAAGGUCACCUCACCUGGUCACUAAUGUCUCCAGACUCCCAGAGGGCGAACACCUUCUGUUCAUCCGGGGAAGCAGCCGUCUGUGGGGGAAACUGACCGAGGCCCGGGCGUGAGCUGGCUGUUUGGCUUUAACACAUGAACCCACCCUCUCCUUGGGCCUACCGGUCUGUGCCCGCCCAGUUCUGGGCACAGAGUCCCAGUCCUAGCUUCUGCCUCUCACGAGCAGAGGGUGGAUGCAAACCUGCCUUCUCUUCUCCCUCCUCACCAGCCACACGCGCGGAGACCGCUUCUGUGAGGAGCAGGCAUGCCUGGCCUGAAGUCAGAGAUGCUUGGGAAGGCGGCGAGGCAGCUUCUGUUUUUCCCAUCAGCCUGCCACUAGCUCUCCCUUCUGCUUUAACAUCCAGUGUCCUCCCACCCUCAGUCAACCCUCAGAGCUGUCUAAGAAGCACUCCCACCCCACUAACUCCUUAGGAGUAUCGUGGGAUUCCUUUCAAUCCCUCCUACAAAAGCCGGGUCAGCAUGGGCUACAGGCCCUGAUCCACCCAGAGCAGCCCGUGCCACGUGGCCCAGCAGAGUCUGAGGAUGGACCAGGCAGAGGGAAGCCCAGGCUCCUGGUGCCUGGAGAAGGGGACGGUGGAAAGGGUACCUGGCAGAGUGGGUUCCGGCCUUGGCGCCACAACCCAAGUAACAGUAACAAUUCCUGCCACAUAAAGUCCCAGGUAACUCUCAUUUGCCACCCGUGAGGGAGCCACUCUCCACGAGCGAGGUCCCAUGCAGAGAGUUUACUCAGAGUUCAUGGUCACACAGCUAAUAAGCAGUAGAACGAGGAGUAGAGUCCGAGUAUACUCGCUCUCCCUGGGCCUCAGCUCCCUUGUGUUAAAAAACAAAACAAAAAAAAUGAGGCUGGACAGGUCUGAGGAAUCUUCCACCUUGGACAUGACUAAGAUACAGAAGGGAGUCAGCGAGAGAGCUGGAAGAGAAGGCCAGGGUCUUCUCAGCAGGGAUGCUGACCCUACUGAGAAGCGGCAGGAUGAGCAGGUCCUAGGGAUAGCUACUCCAUGUCCCUUGUCCUCUAUCCCCUCCAACAGCCCAAGAUGGCCUGGCUAACAUGAGGCAGGUGCCCCUGCCUUGCCUGGCUCAGAGAAAGGUGAGUCUGCAGGUAACUGAACCCAUUUGCUGGGUGGACAAAGGAGGCUCCAAAUAGUGCAGGGCGCCCAAACCCCAGUUACCUUCUCUAGAGACCUCACCAAGGAGGCCCCUUGCCACGAGGGCCAGAUCCCCUGGGACACGCCAGCCAGCUUGGGAGUCAGGGCCUCUUGUCCUAGUUCCUGCUCCUCACACACGGAUGGGCCUUUGCCUCAGAUUACCCAAGGCUGCAUGUGCUUCUGACCUGACACUGCGGAUGUCAGUGCCCCUUGUUAAGAGGCAGACACAGCCCCACUUCACCCGACUUGCUGACAGGUCUGGACAGAGCCUGGGAGGAGAAUGAAGAGUGCACCCAGCCGGGCACCCUUGUACCCUCAGCUCAGGGAGAUGGUCUCCAAGGAUCCCUCUGCUCCUGUAUUUCCUCCCCUCUAGGACCCCUUCCAAUGACAGGACAAGACAAGGAGCCCAGGGUGGAGGUGGCCCACCCUGCACCUGCAGGCUCAGCACCAGAAACGCUCAUUGAAAAGCCACAGCUCGUGCUGGCCAGCCAGCUCUAGGACAGGGAGGCCCGCCAGGACCCAGGCACAGCCAAGGGAUCUGGGGAGAGCUCAGCUCGUCUCAGCUGCAGCAGAAAGGAUUUAAGACUUGCAGCCACUGUACUGAGGUUCAAUGUCCGGCUCUAUCACUUCCUGGACAGGCGUGCAUGCCCAGGAGCCCUCCAUGGGGCCUCGUCUGCCGCCGAGCCCACAGGAGCUACUUACAGGCACCAGUAUCUGCUU